rfam:Salmo salar isolate Sally breed double haploid chromosome ssa06, whole genome shotgun sequence.
UGCAUUCACUACUGUAAGUCGCUCUGGAUAAGAGCGUCUGCUAAAUGAAUGUAA